rnacentral:tRNA from 1 species
GCGAUCGUAGUGAAAUGGUUAUCAUAGAAGCCUGUGGAGCUUCAGUCCGGGGUUCAACUCCCCGCGAUCGCCCCA